UUUGCAUUCAGACACAUGCAGCUCCUGUGUUUACACCACACAGAGUACAACUCAAAUACUCUACAUCAAUCAAGGUUUAAUUACAGAGCAAAUAAUAUAAUGAUGAGAAUAAAAUACUUUAACAUUAAAUUUGGCACUGACCAUAACUUGUACUUUUAACGCUUUCUUUGUUGGAAGUUCACUUCUGUCUUCCUUUUUAUGCAGCCGUGCAUGUACACAGAUUUGAAAGUACGUGGAACUGUGUUUCUCCUUGCAGAGGAUUUUAAGUUUCAUUUUCAGGAAAACUUCAGCCCACCCACCACCACACCUCUCACAGUUUGUAGUUACAUUUUCCUCUUGCUCUUACUCUCAUCUUCAAAGCCUACAGAACCAGAGAAAAGAAAUGGCUGAAUACCAGCAGCCCACCCAGAUAGUGACAGUCUCCAGCACUAAUCAACACCCUGGGACUUGGAGCACUGGCCUCUGUGAUUGCUUCAGUGAUAUGGGCACUUGUUGCUGUGCCCUUUGGUGUUUCCCCUGCAUGCAGUGUGAUACAGCCAAUAAGCACGGGUGGUGUUGCUGCCUCCCACUCUGUGAUGGAUGCUUCGUGGUAUCCUGCACGCUUCGCCAGUCAAUCAGAGACCGCCACGGCAUCGCUGGUUCGUGCUGUGAUGACUGCUGUAAAAUACUUUGGUGUUACACGUGUGUCUGGUGCCAGAUGCAUCGUGAGGUGAAGAUCAGGGCCAACAUGCAGCCGGCCACCUCAACGGUGGUCACCACUCAAGUUGUCAGAGCGUAGGAUGUAACCAUUUUGGCUGUUGGUUGAGUGAAGAUGGCCAACAGUAUUUCAAAGUGCUGAUGCUUGUGUAGUUCAAUACAAUAUGUAGAGUCUGUGUUAAAACCAGAUGCUUUAAGUUUUGGUAGCGUGUUGGAUAUAUAAUACAACUGAGAACGUUUGUUUACUCUGGCUAGUAAAAUCUGUAUAAUUUCACAUGGUCACUGUUAUUGUAAUCUUUCCCAAGUUAAAUUUAACGUUUGCUGAAAUAAAAAGUUAUUCAUAUUCAUCCAUUA